UACGGGGGGGGUAAGCGUUGUUCGGAAUUACUGGGCGUAAAGGGCUCGUAGGCGGCCAACUAAGUCGGACGUGAAAUCCCUCAGCUUAACUGGGGAACUGCGUCCGAUACUGGAUGGCUUGGAUUUGGGAGAGGGAUGCGGAAUUCCAGGUGUAGCGGUGAAAUGCGUAGAUAUCUGGAGGAACACCGGUGGCGAAGGCGGCAUCCUGGACCAAUAUUGACGCUGAGGAGCGAGAGCCAGGGGAGCAAACGGG
rnacentral:rRNA from 1 species